GACGAACGCUGGCGGCGUGCUUAACACAUGCAAGUCGAACGGAAAGGCCCUGCUUUUGUGGGGUGCUCGAGUGGCGAAAGGGUGAGUAACACGUGAGUAACCUGCCCUUGACUUUGGGAUAACUUCAGGAAACUGGGGCUAAUACCGGAUAGGAGCUCCUGCUGCAUGGUGGGGGUUGGAAAGUUUCGGCGGUUGGGGAUGGACUCGCGGCUUAUCAGCUUGUUGGUGGGGUAGUGGCUUACCAAGGCUUUGACGGGUAGCCGGCCUGAGAGGGUGCCCGGCCACAUUGGGACUGCGAUACGGCCCAGACUCCUACGGGAGGCAGCAGUGGGGAAUAUUGCACAAUGGGCGGAAGCCUGAUGCAGCAACGCCGCGUGCGGGAUGACGGCCUUCGGGUUGUAAACCGCUUUCGCCUGUGACGAAGCGUGAGUGACGGUAAUGGGUAAAGAAGCACCGGCUAACUACGUG
rnacentral:rRNA from 1 species